UCAGUGAAACUGAUCUUCCCGUGAAGAAGCGGGAAUAUACAUAUAAGACGAGAAGACCCCAUGGAGCUUUAAACCCAACAGCACCUAUUCUUUUUAAAUCCACUUAUUCUUAUAGUAAGUGCUUGCUUGGUUUUAGGUUGGGGUGACCGCGGAGUAAAAAUAAGCCUCCACGAAAAAAGGCAUAANAGCCUUAUCAAAGAAUCACACUUCUAUGAAUUAGUAAACUAAUUUUUGAUGAUCCGAUAUUCGAUCAACGAACCAAGUUACCCUGGGGAUAACAGCGCAAUCCACCUCAAGAGCUCUUAUCGACAAGUGGG
rnacentral:rRNA from 1 species